rnacentral:rRNA from 1 species
CCCCUAGAUGUUCUGGGCCGCACGCGCGCUACACUGAACAGUUCAACAAGUCUUAACCUUGGCCGAUAGGUCUGGGUAAUCUUUGAACGCUGUUCGUGAUUGGGAUAGACCUUUGCAAUUAUGGGUCUUCAACGAGGAAUUCCUAGUAAACGCAAGUCAUCAGCUUGCAUUGAUUACGUCCCUGCCCUUUGUACACACCGCCCGUCGCAACUACCGAUUGAAUGGUCCGGUGAAAUCUCGGGACGGCGGCUUGGUCGCUUGCGUCCGACUGCUGAAACUUGAUUAAACCAUAUCAUUUAGAGGAAGGUGAAGUCGUAACA